UACGGGGGGGCAAGCGUUGUUCGGAAUUACUGGGCGUAAAGGGUUCGUAGGCGGCCAACUAAGUCAUACGUGAAAUCCCUCAGCUUAACUGGGGAACUGCGUGUGAUACUGGAUGGCUUGGAUUUGGGAGAGGGAUGCGGAAUUCCUGGUGUAGCGGUGAAAUGCGCAGAUAUCAGGAGGAACACCGGUGGCGAAGGCGGGACUCUGGGCCGAUACUGACGCUGAGGAGCGAAAGCGUGGGGAGCAAACAGG
rnacentral:rRNA from 1 species